rnacentral:rRNA from 1 species
AUGUGUGCAGAUUUGAGAAAGAAGAGAAGAGAAAUAAUCUUCAGGAAGAGUUUGGUGAAGAAUAAGGUCAUAUCAGCUCCAUAUCAUGUUGCAGAGGAAAAACUUCUCACCAUAUUCAGGCAUCUGUGGGAAGGUAUGCCUUCAGCUAAUCAGAUCUUAGUCACUCUAUCUGUUACUCAUUACUUAAUGAAUUUUGUGUGGUUGGAAGGCCUCCUGAAGAAUCACAGCCAUUGCAUUGUUAUCCUGCCUAUUCAUGUUGAAAAGUUUAAUUCUUUUUCAAGCAUGCUAGAGUAUGGGGGCAUUUUAUAUGCUAUUGAGCUAAGCUAUAAAACUUUACAUGCUCAAUUUUCUUGA